rnacentral:rRNA from 1 species
GAUGAACGCUGGCGGCGUGCUUAACACAUGCAAGUCGAACGGAAAGGCCCAAGCUUGCUUGGGUACUCGAGUGGCGAACGGGUGAGUAACACGUGGGUGAUCUGCCCUGCACUUCGGGAUAAGCCUGGGAAACUGGGUCUAAUACCGGAUAGGACCACAUUUUGGAUGGUGUGGUGGAAAGUUUUUCGGUGUGGGAUGAGCUCGCGGCCUAUCAGCUUGUUGGUGGGGUAAUGGCCUACCAAGGCGUCGACGGGUAGCCGGCCUGAGAGGGUGUACGGCCACAUUGGGACUGAGAUACGGCCCAGACUCCUACGGGAGGCAGCAGUGGGGAAUAUUGCACAAUGGGCGCAAGCCUGAUGCAGCGACGCCGCGUGGGGGAGGACGGCCUUCGGGUUGUAAACUCCUUUCGCUAGGGACGAAGCGUUUUUGUGACGGGACCUGGAGAAGAAGCACCGGCUAACUACGU